AUUGAACGCUGGCGGCAUGCUUUACACAUGCAAGGCGAACGGUAACAGGCCGCAAGGUGCUGACGAGUGGCGAAAGGGUGAGUAAUGUAUAGGAACGUGCCCAGUCGGGGGGGAUAACUAAUCGAAAGAGGAGCUAAUAUUUAAUACGAUCGAUGGAUGAAAGCGGGGGAAUGUAAGGCCUCGCGCGAUUGGAGCGGCCGAUGUCAGAUUAGGUAGUUGGUGGGGUAAAGGCUCACCAAGCCAACGAUCUGUAGCUGGUCUGAGAGGACGACCAGCCACACUGAGACUGAGACACGACCCAGACUCCUACGGGAGGCAGCAGUGGGGAAUUUUGGACAAUGGGCGCAAGCCUGAUCCAGCAAUGCCGCGUGCAGGAAGAAGGCCUUCGGGUUGUAAACUGCUUUUGUACGAAACGAAACGGCUCUGGUUAAUACCCGGGGCUAAUGACGGUACCGUAAGAAUAAGCACCGGCUAACUACGUG
rnacentral:rRNA from 1 species